CCUACGGGCGGCUUCAGUGAGGAAUAUUGGUCAAUGGCCGGAAGGCUGAACCAGCCAAGCCGCGUGAAGGACGAAGGUGCCAUGCAUUGUAAACUUCUUUUGUCAAGGGACAAAAUCAGGCUCGAGAGCCUGACCGAGGGUACUUGAAGAAAAAGCAUCGGCUAACUCCGUGCCAGCCGCCGCGGUAAUACGGAGGAUGCGAGCGUUAUCCGGAUUUAUUGGGUUUAAAGGGUGCGUAGGCGGGCUGUUAAGUCAGCGGUAAAAGCCCGGGGCUCAACCCCGUCGAGCCGUUGAAACUGGCUGUCUUGAGUGGGCGAGAGGUAUGCGGAAUGCGUAGUGUAGCGGUGAAAUGCAUAGAUAUUGCGCAGAACUCCGAUUGCGAAGGCAGCAUACCGGCGGCGAACUGACGCUGAGGCACGAAAGCGUGGGUAUCGAACAGGAUUAGAUACCCGAGUAGUC
rnacentral:rRNA from 1 species